rnacentral:rRNA from 1 species
GACGAACGCUGGCGGCGUGCUUAACACAUGCAAGUCGAACGGAAAGGCCCUGCUUUUGUGGGGUGCUCGAGUGGCGAACGGGUGAGUAACACGUGAGUAACCUGCCCUUGACUUUGGGAUAACUUCAGGAAACUGGGGCUAAUACCGGAUAGGAGCUCCUGCUGCAUGGUGGGGGUUGGAAAGUUUCGGCGGUUGGGGAUGGACUCGCGGCUUAUCAGCUUGUUGGUGGGGUAGUGGCUUACCAAGGCUUUGACGGGUAGCCGGCCUGAGAGGGUGACCGGCCACAUUGGGACUGAGAUACGGCCCAGACUCCUACGGGAGGCAGCAGUGGGGAAUAUUGCACAAUGGGCGGAAGCCUGAUGCAGCAACGCCGCGUGCGGGAUGACGGCCUUCGGGUUGUAAACCGCUUUCGCCUGUGACGAAGCGUGAGUGACGGUAAUGGGUAAAGAAGCACCGGCUAACUACGUGCCAGCAGCCGCGGUGAUACGUAGGGUGCGAGCGUUGUCCGGAUUUAUUGGGCGUAAAGGGCUCGUAGGUGGUUGAUCGCGUCGGAAGUGUAAUCUUGGGGCUUAACCCUGAGCGUGCUUUCGAUACGGGUUGACUUGAGGAAGGUAGGGGAGAAUGGAAUUCCUGGUGGAGCGGUGGAAUGCGCAGAUAUCAGGGGGAACACCAGUGGCGAAGGCGGUUCUCUGGGCCUUUCCUGACGCUGAGGAGCGUAAGCGUGGGGAGCGAACAGGCUUAGAUACCCUGGUAGUCCACGCUGUAAACGGUGGGUACUAGGUGUGGGGUCCAUUCCACGGGUUCCGUGCCGUAGCUAACGCUUUAAGUACCCCGCCUGGGGAGUACGGCCGCAAGGCUAAAACUCAAAGGAAUUGACGGGGCCCCGCACAAGCGGCGGAGCAUGCGGAUUAAUUCGAUGCAACGCGUAGAACCUUACCUGGGUUUGACAUGGAUCGGGAGUGCUCAGAGAUGGGUGUGCCUCUUUUGGGGUCGGUUCACAGGUGGUGCAUGCCUGUCGUCAGCUCGUGUCGUGAGAUGUUGGGUUAAGUCCCGCAACGAGCGCAACCCUUGUUCACUGUUGCCAGCACGUUAUGGUGGGGACUCAGUGGAGACCGCCGGGGUCAACUCGGAGGAAGGUGGGGAUGACGUCAAGUCCUCAUGCCCCUUAUGUCCAGGGCUUCACGCAUGCUACAAUGGCUGGUACAGAGAGUGGCGAGCCUGUGAGGGUGAGCGAAUCUCGGAAAGCCGGUCUCAGUUCGGAUUGGGGUCUGCAACUCGACCUCAUGAAGUCGGAGUCGCUAGUAAUCGCAGAUCAGCAACGCUGCGGUGAAUACGUUCCCGGGGCU